AACUAACUGUAGGCUUAUCCCGAUCAACUUCUCAGGUGAUCGUAACGACUCGAUCGAUCACAUGGCUAAUGAUCAAUCAAAAUAUUAGAGCUACCGACCGACAAUCAAUCGGUAUAUCGAAGACACCGACAUAUAGACGACGCACUAAGAUUACCGACAUACAGUCGAUAUGUCAUAAACGACCAGCGCAGAAAGUGUAUAAUGGCAAUAUAUCACGAUUAUCAGUGGGCAUAACUGCCAACCCCCAUGAUCA
rnacentral:lncRNA from 1 species